GAUGAAGAACGUAGCGAAAUGCGAUAAUUAAUGUGAAUUGCAGAAUUCAGUGAAUCAUCGAAUCUUUGAACGCACAUUGCGCCCGCCAGUAUUCUGGCGGGCAUGCCUGUUCGAGCGUCAUUUCAACCCUCAAGCACAGCUUGGUGUUGGGACUCGCGUUAAUUCGCGUUCCUCAAAUUGAUUGGCGGUCACGUCGAGCUUCCAUAGCGUAGUAGUAAAACCCUCGUUACUGGUAAUCGUCGCGGCCACGCCGUUAAACCCCAACUUCUGAAUGUUGACCUCGGAUCAGGUAGGAAUACCCGCUGAACUUAAGCAUAUCAAUAAGCGGAGGA
rnacentral:misc_RNA from 1 species